rnacentral:rRNA from 1 species
UACAUAGGGAGCAAGCGUUAUCCGGAUUUAUUGGGUGUAAAGGGUGCGUAGACGGGAAUUUAAGUUGGUUGUGAAAGCCCUCGGCUCAACUGAGGAACUGCAACCAAAACUGGAUUUCUUGAGUAUUGGAGAGGAAAGUGGAAUUCCUAGUGUAGCGGUGAAAUGCGUAGAUAUUAGGAGGAACACCAGUGGCGAAGGCGGCUUUCUGGACAAUAACUGACGUUGAGGCACGAAAGUGUGGGGAGCAAACA